GUGUUUCUACAAAGGUGAGAGAGGUGCCUCCUUGUGACUCCAGCUGAGCUACGGGAGAUAUCAGGGGGUUUCAUAAAAAAGAAAAAUUACCCCAAGACUUUCCCUGCCAGGGUCCUUUCUGUUGGAGGAAGUGUCCCCUUGGGAGAGAGAAGAGGACCAGAAUUUAGGCCUCAGAAGGGAAGGAUGAAGCCCCCAAAGUUGCCACCUUCUAGGGAGCCCAGACCUCAGGAUUUUGAGGAGUUGGCUCCAUCAGUGUCAAGAGGCUCAGUGUCCCCACGGGAAGGGAUCAGUGGGAGCUUUCAGCGCCAAUGUCUCAUGAGUUGAAGGUCAGUGGUUUUCUCUUGGACUGAUGAUUGUCCUGCUCUGAUCCACCUGACUCCAGAGGGGUGGGUACUGACAUGGUGACUCAAGAAUGUGGCCUCGGUCUCCCCCUGGGGCCUUGUGGUUAAUCCCCUACUCUCCUGUGGUCUGGAACCACUGAAUGCAGAUUCAAAUCUCUCUUUCCUCCAUGAUUCUAUCAAGAAAGAAGAGGGUUGUCAUCUCAGUUGACACAGGGGUGGAGGCCCGUGCGUGGGCCCCUGAAGUUUCUAGGGCUGACUCUUCCUAAUUUUCUGUGUGGCCUUGAACAAAUCCUCUCUCUGGAUGUCACUCGCACCUAAGAAGCCAGAUACUUCAGCCCUCCCAACAGCCAUCUGCAGUGGGCCUGUCCUGGCUUCAUCACCCCCUGUGUCACCCUGGGCAACUCCCUUCACUUCUCAGCACCUCAGUUUCCACGUGUUGAACAGGAGUGGUAAUAGUUCCUGUUUCAUUGAGUUGUCAUAAAGCAAGAACUCAGCCCAGCACCUGGAGAGACCUCAAAUGCGUUGUUACUAUCAUCGCCCUUCUCUUCCUUUCACAGAUGAGGAAACUGAGUCUCAGAGAAGUCGAGGGACUGGCUCAGAGAUGUACAGCAUGGCAUUGCUGGAGCCGGCCUGGAAGACAAGCAGUCUCCCUCCAAUUGCACACUGUUUUCUCUGAGGCUCUGCAUUGUUGGAGGAAGGGUCAGAGGGGCUGGAGAGGAAGAAACAAUGCAAAUAUGAGGCAGCAGAAGGGAAAUAGAGGUACUGGGGGCUUCCAGCCUCAUGCUGCUUGCUCUCUCCUGAAUCCAUCGUUGGUCUUUCUGUCCUAAUCCGACCACUCCAUCGCCAGCCUCCAUUCCUCUGAAUGUUGAUAGAAGAGCUCCGGACUCUUUCCAGCUUUCCAGACUUUUCCACUCACACAGACUCAAGGGUCCUCCCAACUGUCUUGUGAAAAGAGGCCAUCCCAUUCCACAGGAGGGGAAACUGAGGCUUGGAAAAGGCACAUGGUCCCAUGUAGCGUCACUGUGGCUCUUCGGACUCUUCCAGGUCCCUCUGCCUGUCCUGGGCCUGCCAUUGUUCCACCUCCAGAUCAUUCUCCUCUGGGUCUCUGCUCACAGACCUUCCAUCAAGAAAUUCACUACAGUGUGUUGGAACAGUCUAUGUACCUGACUACCACACAAGGGCUGUUGUAAGGAUCAAAUGGCAUCAUGAAUGGAGGGUACCAAGUCCUGCACCCAGCCUGCAGUGACUAGCACCUGCUCCCUGCUGAACAUGGUGGCUGGGGCUGGACAUGGUCCUUGGGGGUGUGAUCUGAGCAGCCUGCAGCAUUCUGGGCCUUUCAACUGCCGCAUCCUGGUACCAGUCUCAUGCUUCCUGGUACCCUACAGAUGGCUGUCUCCUGGUGGAGUCACCAGGUUGGAGGGGUCCUCAGAAUGCCAACAGAACAGAGCAGCCCUGAGCUCCGGCACCUGUCACUGUGGCUUGACUGGAUACAUAUCUCCAGACCAAGGCAAGCAUCUCUGGCAGAACCCACUGUGGAGAUCCUAAAUUGGCACCCCGUAGAGUGAGCUGUCUGAUUCUACAAAGGCAGUAUUUCUAGGUUUCAAAGGAACUGAAUAAUUUAAAAUGCACAAGACAAAAAGUGGGAUUAAGGUGAUCUGAUAGGCUCUCCAGGCUGGGGUAUCAAUUAUACUCUCAACUCGUAAAGCCUUAUUUGUGAGAUUCAGAAUUUAUUAUCUGUCUGAAGCACUAAUUACCAGGUUUCUCUCUUUUAAUUUUACAGGUCUCUUCUCAGAUUUAUUUUUCUCUUUUUUCCCUCCCACUGGGGACAAAUAGCUUCCAUUCCUGAAGGGAAGUUGCCUGCUUGGAGAUGGACAGAGGAAGAUAUUUGGGUUCAGCUUAUCCCCUCUGGGCACUUUGGGGGAAGCAGCAUGGGUUGGGGCAGGAGAACUCUAAUGUGUAUGUGUUAAUAAACUUACUGUUUUCUAAAAUUUUGUCAAAGGUAUGCAUGUUUAUAGUUUAAAGAGGUGAAGAGUUCCAUGUGGCCUACUGUAUUUUUCCUUCCUUGUAUAACUUUUAUUUUCCUAGGAGCUAAUAACUAUCUUGUUCUUUUGUUUGCUUGCCUUUCUCUGUACUUAUCACUAAUUCAACUCCAGAGUCUUUACUGAUUGCCUAUUCCAAUAUUUUCACCCACAUCAGGUGCUCUAUCAAUUUCAUUGUCCUGAAGAGUUUCCCUGACAGCCUUCUGACCUGG
rnacentral:lncRNA from 1 species